rnacentral:rRNA from 1 species
AGGACUUGCUCCUGGAUUCAGCGGCGGACGGGUGAGUAAUGCCUAGGAAUCUGCCUGGUAGUGGGGGACAACGUUUCGAAAGGAACGCUAAUACCGCAUACGUCCUACGGGAGAAAGCAGGGGACCUUCGGGCCUUGCGCUAUCAGAUGAGCCUAGGUCGGAUUAGCUAGUUGGUGAGGUAAUGGCUCACCAAGGCGACGAUCCGUAACUGGUCUGAGAGGAUGAUCAGUCACACUGGGAACUGAGACACGGUCCAGACUCCUACGGGAGGCAGCAGUGGGGAAUAUUGGACAAUGGGCGAAAGCCUGAUCCAGCCAUGCCGCGUGUGUGAAGAAGGUCUUCGGAUUGUAAAGCACUUUAAGUUGGGAGGAAGGGUUGUAGAUUAAUACUCUGCAAUUUUGACGUUACCGACAGAAUAAGCAACCGGCUAACUCUGUGCCAGCAGCCGCGGUAAUACAGARGGUGCAAGCGUUAAUCGGAAUUCUGGGCCGUAAAACCCCGUAGGGGGUUUGUUAAGUUGGAUGUGAAUCCCGGGC